UCGACGCAACGCGAAGAACCUUACCAAGGCUUGACAUAUACCGAAAAGCAGCAGAGAUGUUGUGUCCGCAAGGGCGGUAUACAGGUGGUGCAUGGUUGUCGUCAGCUCGUGUCGUGAGAUGUUGGGUUAAGUCCCGCAACGAGCGCAACCCUCGUUCUGUGUUGCCAGCAUUUAGUUGGGGACUCACAGGAGACUGCCGUGGUCAACACGGAGGAAGGUGGGGAUGACGUCAAAUCAUCAUGCCCCUUAUGUCUUGGGCUGCACGCAUGCUACAAUGGCAGGUACAAAGGGCUGCGAUACCGUAAGGUGGAGCGAAUCCCAAAAAGUCUGUCUCAGUUCGGAUUGAGGUCUGCAACUCGACCUCAUGAAGUCGGAGUUGCUAGUAAUCGUAGAUCAGCAACGCUACGGUGAAUACGUUCCCGGGGCUUGUACACACCGCCCGUCACGUCACGAAGUCGGUAACACCCAAAGUCAGUGGCCCAACCGCAAGGA
rnacentral:rRNA from 1 species